UACGUGGGGUGCAAGCGUUGUCCGGAAUUAUUGGGCGUAAAGAGCUCGUAGGCGGUCUGUUGCGUCGGCUGUGAAAACUCGAGGCUCAACCUCGGGCUUGCAGUGGGUACGGGCAGACUAGAGUGCGGUAGGGGAGACUGGAAUUCCUGGUGUAGCGGUGGAAUGCGCAGAUAUCAGGAGGAACACCGAUGGCGAAGGCAGGUCUCUGGGCCGCAACUGACGCUGAGGAGCGAAAGCAUGGGGAGCGAACAGG
rnacentral:rRNA from 1 species